GCGCAGCAGGCGCGAAAACUCCGCAAUGCACGAAAGUGUGACGGGGUCAAUCCGAGUGCCAACUCAAAAAGUUGGCUUUUCACCGGUGUAAGCAGCCGGUGGAAUAAGGGGAGGGCAAGGCUGGUGCCAGCCGCCGCGGUAAAACCAGCUCCUCGAGUAGUCAAGACGUUUAUUGGGCCUAAAGCGUCCGUAGCCGGUCCAGUAAGUCUCUGGUCAAAUCUAACGGCUCAACCGUUAGACCGCUAGAGAUACUGCUGGACUCGGGAGGCGGGAGAGGCCGAAGGUACUCUCAGGGUAGGGGUGAAAAUCCGAUAAUCCUGAGGGGACCACCAGUGGCGAAGGCGCUCGGCUGGAACGCGCUCGACGGUGAGGGACGAAAGCCA
rnacentral:rRNA from 1 species